AAGUCGUAACAAGGUUUCCGUAGGUGAACCUGCGGAAGGAUCAUUAACACUCCAAAACCCUCAUAGCUCUGGGAAACCAGGGUUUAUGAAACCCUAUUCACUUUAACGAACCCGCGAAGUGGAGAGGUCACUCUCUCCAUUUUUGCACUUUUCUUUUGUCCCUUUGUUUUUUAACCCCUUGAAUCUUAUCAGUCUGAAACUUUUUUUUUCUGUUCGCAAGGACGAAAAAAAAAACAAACGAAACAAAGAACAACUCUUAGCAACGGAUAUCUUGGUUCUC
rnacentral:misc_RNA from 1 species